UUGUUGGUAAGGUAAAAGCUUACCAAGGCUUCGAUCAGUAGCUGGUCUGAGAGGACGACCAGCCACACUGGGACUGAGACACGGCCCAGACUCCUACGGGAGGCAGCAGUGGGGAAUUUUGGACAAUGGGGGCAACCCUGAUCCAGCCAUGCCGCGUGAGUGAAGAAGGCCUUCGGGUUGUAAAGCUCUUUCAGCCGGAACGAAACGGUUACGGUUAACACCCGUGACUACUGACGGUACCGGAAGAAGAAGCACCGGCUAACUACGUGCCAGCAGCCGCGGUAAUACGUAGGGUGCGAGCGCUAAUCGGAAUUACUGGGCGUAAAGCGUGCGCAGGUGGUUUUGUAAGUCAGAUGUGAAAGCCCCGGGCUCAACCUGGGAACUGCGUUUGAAGCUACAAGACUAGAGUGUGGCAGAGGGGGGUGGAAUUCCGCGUGUAGCAGUGAAAUGCGUAGAGAUGUGGAGGAACACCGAUGGCGAAGGCAGCCCCCUGGGUCAACACUGACGCUCAGGCACGAAAGCAUGGGGAGCAAACAGGAUUAGAUACCCUGGUAGUCCAUGCCCUAAACGAUGUCAACUAGUUGUCGGGCCUUUACGGGCUCGGUAACGUAGCUAACGCGUGAAGUUGACCGCCUGGGGAGUACGAUCGCAAGAUUAAAACUCAAAUGAAUUGACGGGGACCCGCACAAGCGGUGGAUUAUGUGGAUUAAUUCGAUGCAACGCGAAAAACCUUACCUACCCUUGACAUGUAUCGAAGCCCGCAGAAAAGCGGGGGUGCCCGAAAGGGAACGAUAACACAGGUGCUGCAUGGCUGUCGUCAGCUCGUGUCGUGAGAUGUUGGGUUAAGUCCCGCAACGAGCGCAACCCUUGUCAUUAAUUGCCAUCAUUUAGUUGGGCACUUUAACGAGACUGCCGG
rnacentral:rRNA from 1 species